UACAAUAGAUUUUUCCCGGGAAGUAACAAAAAAAAGUGAAGAACUUUUAGCCAUUCGUUGUCGGUGAAAAGCUGAUAAACUUUACGACUUCUUCGUCUCUCUCUCUUCUUCCAUUGUAUCAAUCAAAAAAAGUUAACGACGAAAUCAGUUGAGAUUGAUUGUCACGAAUGUUUCUCAACAUAUGCAUGCGGUUUGCUAUGUCGACCUCCGUAAAAUUCAAGAUCGAGUCAUGACAAACGAAGAGGUUCAAAAGAAGAAAAAACUAUAUCAAUUUCCGAUUUUGCAACGAAAGGAAAACUCAUCAAGACAGUCUAACAACAAAGAUUCCUUGAUUCAGCUAUAAUAAGGCAAUAGCCCGUCCAAGAGAUUAGAAGCAAAUUUUACCAAUACGAAGACUUCAUUAAAGAACCGAGUUAAAGGAUACUGCAUUGUAUCACUGACGGAAGCUCUCAGAUGGGCUAAGGAGCUCAAGCAUGACUUAGUUGAGUCCAGAGAGAUGCUAACCCACCAGGUGUUAAAUUGCAAACUACGCCAAUGAGAAGUACAAAAAGGCUCAAGUAGGAAAGGAGCAUCCUAAGGCCAAGCUGAAGUACCCAUUCGACCAGAAGUCAAAAGAAAUCCGAUUUACUCCAAAAGUUUAAGGUUUCUCUUGAAAUGCUUUAUAUGUUUCUUUAUCUUCUCUGGGUUAAUGAUUAAACCUACAAAGAAAAUUUUCUUUUUCUCUUCUGGAUGCAAAGGACUUGCAGUUUAAAGCAAAGCAAGUAAGGAAACUGAUGGAAAGUGGAUAUCGUGUGGAGGUAUAAAUCAAAGUCCCAAACUUUAACAUACCAAGUUAAAAUCUGGUUGAUAUAAUUACCUUGCAUGUAAAUUUCACAAAUACGUAUCUUACAUGAUAGUUAUAUUAUUUAAGUGUUAUGUCUU